AUGCUUUCUCGAGCUUUUUUAAAUUUUACGCCGACAGCUGCCUGCUGGAGACUGCAAUUUUAUAUACGAUAUGUAUAAAUUAAGCCUCCUAUAUAUGGCUUUGUAACCGGUCCCCUCUGUGCUGGCAGCCUUAUUCAGCAAGAUCUGGAAACGCUCUUCUUCUACAUCUCGGAUAAUUUUUUACACUGGGCACCGUGGGCUUUCUUCAGUACAAAAUCUUCCCAACAACAUUUUCCGGGAAGUCCCUAUUCCGAACUUCCCGGAAAAUGUUCUUCCAGGAAAGUAAUGGCGAGUUUUAUAUCAAAAAAAGAAAAAUUGCACGCAGAGUGAUAGCAGAAAGAAGAAGAAAAAAUGGAAAAUAAGAGAGGAAGGUAGAAGAAAGUGAUGAGGACAAUGUGAAGGAAAUGGAAAAGUCGAAGAAACAAUACUUGAAGUAUUCUCCAACCGGCAGAUAUUUUGACGGUUACAAGUACCAGAUUAAGGACCGAAACGCCAAAGGGGUGCUACUUUUAAGAUGCCACGACCGCAAGAAUUGUGGGGGGAUGGCUUCUCUCAACGGGGAAGAUUUUGUACUGAAGAAAGCCCACGGUGCCCAGUGUAAAAAAUUAUCCGAGA